GGAGGGUAUAGCUCAGUGGUAAAGCACAUGCUUAGCAUGCAUGAGGUCCUGGGUUCAAUCCCCAGUACCUCCU
rnacentral:tRNA from 1 species